GACGAACGCUGGCGGCGUGCUUAACACAUGCAAGUCGAACGCUGAAGCUCAGCUUUUGUUGGGUGGAUGAGUGGCGAACGGGUGAGUAACACGUGAGUAACCUGCCCCCUUCUUUGGGAUAACGCCCGGAAACGGGUGCUAAUACUGGAUAUUCACUGGUCUUCGCAUGGGGGUUGGUGGAAAGGGUUUUUCUGGUGGGGGAUGGGCUCGCGGCCUAUCAGCUUGUUGGUGGGGUGAUGGCCUACCAAGGCUUUGACGGGUAGCCGGCCUGGGAGGGUGACCGGUCACAUUGGGACUGAGAUACGGCCCAGACUCCGACGGGAGGCAGCAGUGGGGAAUAUUGCACAAUGGGCGCAAGCCUGAUGCAGCGACGCCGCGUGAGGGAUGGAGGCCUUCGGGUUGUGAACCUCUUUCGCUCAUGGUCAAGCCGCAACAAUGGUUGUGGUGAGGGUAGUGGGUAAAGAAGCGCCGGCUAACUACGUG
rnacentral:rRNA from 1 species